rnacentral:rRNA from 1 species
UACAGAGGUCUCAAGCGUUGUUCGGAUUCAUUGGGCGUAAAGGGUGCGUAGGCGGCGCGGUAAGUCGGGUGUGAAAUCUCGGAGCUUAACUCCGAAACUGCAUUCGAUACUGCCGUGCUUGAGGACUGGAGAGGAGACUGGAAUUUACGGUGUAGCGGUGAAAUGCGUAGAUAUCGUAAGGAAGACCAGUGGCGAAGGCGGGUCUCUGGACAGUUCCUGACGCUGAGG